UCUCCGUUGGUGAACCAGCGGAGGGAUCAUUACCGAGUUUACAACUCCCAAACCCAAUGUGAACGUUACCAAACUGUUGCCUCGGCGGGGUCACGCCCCGGGUGCGUCGCAGCCCCGGAACCAGGCGCCCGCCGGAGGAACCAACCAAACUCUUUCCGUAGUCCCCUCGCGGACGUUAUUUCUUACAGCUCUGAGCAAAAAUUCAAAAUGAAUCAAAACUUUCAACAACGGAUCUCUUGGUUCUG
rnacentral:misc_RNA from 1 species